rnacentral:tRNA from 1 species
GCCGUGGUGGCUCAGUGGUAGAGCACACCCUUGGUAAGGGUGAGGUCAAGAGUUCAAUUCUCUUUCACGGCAC